rnacentral:lncRNA from 1 species
GAACAUUUGAAAACAGUGCCUUAGACAAGGGGAAGGAAAUAAAAACUCUUACACAGAUGUUUGUGGUGGCGCAUGCCUGUAACCCCAACAAUUCCAGAGACUGAAGCAGGAGGAUCACAAGUACAAGGCCAGCCUCAGCAACUUAGUAAGACCCUGUCUCAAAAUAAGAAACAAAAGGGCUGGGGAUACAGCUCAGUGGUAAAGUGCACCUGGCAUCAGUUCCCAGUACAAUACCAAAAAACAAAGAAAGAAAACUCAGAUAUUUAUUAAAAAAUCUUGAUUUUUUUUUCAAAUCUUGAUUCUUGAAUCCUUUAGAUCCUCAACCAGAAUUUUGAUGUGGAAUACAGGAAUCUGUGUUUGUUUUGGCAGUGCUGGGAUUGAACCCAGGGCCUAGUACAUGCCAACCACUGAGCUAUAGCCCCAUCCCAGAAUCUAUGUUUGAUCAAGUACCCAGAGAAUUUUCAUAUAAACUAUAAUUAUAUAUACUCAAAUAAUUGAAAUAAAAGUUUCAUGAAAACUACACUUAACCUCAUUAUGUGCAGGGCAGCUUUUCCCUUCUACCUCUUUUUUUUUUUUGGUUCUGGGAAUUGAACUCAGGGGCACUCAACCACUGAGCCAUGUCUCCAGCCCUAUUUUGUAUUUUAUUUAGAGACAGGGUCUCACUGAGUUGCUUUAGCGUCUUGCCAUUGCUGAGGCUGGCUUUGAACUCGCAAUCCUCCUGCCUCAGCCUCCCCAGCCGCUGAGAUUAUAGGCAUUUGCCACCGUGCCUGCUUCUACCUCGUUUUUUAAAUGCUGGUCUUGAGGGGGUUUCUGAGCCUUGGCACUGUCCUUAGUUCACAGCAGACACUCCCUGUGGUGAGUGGUGUGGUUGCCAUGGCUGCCCUGUUCUGCAACCUCAGCCUCCAUGGACUAGACACUAGUCACACUGACCCCACCCCCACCCUAAUAUAACAACCAAAAAUAUCUCCAGACAUUGUCAAGUGUCACCUGGGAGGCAAGAUCACCCUAGCUGGGCAGUGGGAGCCUUGGCCUAUUGACACCAAUGGGUCAGAAUUCAAGAGGUAGGAACGAAGACAGGCUGGGGAGGUUUGAAUGGUGGCCACCCUUAUCAUCUUGGCUCUUGACCAUGGGGACUGAGCUUGGGCCCUAACUUCCUCCUCAGUGAUAGCACAGAGCCCCAGAAUCUAAGUGAUGGGUCAUCUGGGAGAUGAGUGAAGAGCUGCAUGCUAGCUGCACCUGGCACAUGGUUGGUCUUUGGUAACAGAAAUCCUGAAAAUCCUAAGUCUCAACCCUUUGGAUUCUUGGAGGCAGUCUUGCUUAUGGUCCAGCUGGGAAGACACAUAUUUCUGUGAGAUUUCAACUGGGAUUUAGUGCUGUUCCUCAGAGGUACAGCUUCUGAUAAGCCAAACAAAAAAAUGGCAAGAUAACUCUGAGAUAAGCAGUGGCUAGCAGCUGCCACCAUAGCCAAGCUGGAUGGGUCAAGGUCAGCAGGCUGGUGACCCCACAAAGAUGGAGUUGUGCUGGCCAGAGGCUGGACCCUACAAUAGAGAUGCUGUCCAAGGUGGUAGCUAUGGUAACCCUGGCACUUCUUUCAGUCUCCUACAGUGUCCCCCUUGGCCAGAUUCAUCUUGAGCUCCUGUGGUGCAAAGCUGUAAUGAAUGAUAAAGCAUCUGGUUUGCAGGGUCACUGAUACAGCUGACCACUUACUUCCAAGGCAUGACCCAGCUCUCUAGAGCGGUUUUCUUCAUGCCUGGCAUUGUUUUACUUUAAGCACCCACUGCUCAGGCCAGAGGAAGGCACAUUGGCUCUGGACCUCAUCAGCUGUCCUAGACACUUACUUGCCUGAGGCCAACACUUCCCCAGUGGCAGAGCAGGGAAGAAGGUGGCAUUUGGAAGGGAGGUUGUCAGGUUUCAGCAGUGGAGGAUGGGCCCAUGUCAUAGCAUCUCACUCUUGACAAAGAUUCAAGUCAAGGACCAAUGAGGUGAAUCUGGGCAGGUCACUUUUGUGCCCACUGUGGGCAGGAGGACGUGUGCACUCUAUUCUCUCAUCACUUUACAGGAGGUCCCUAGGUUACUCCUUCUCUCUCUCAACUUGUUGCUUC